rnacentral:rRNA from 1 species
GUAGGGCGCAAGCGUUAUCCGGAAUUAUUGGGCGUAAAGAGCUCGUAGGCGGUUUGUCGCGUCUGCUGUGAAAUCCCGAGGCUCAACCUCGGGCCUGCAGUGGGUACGGGCAGACUAGAGUGCGGUAGGGGAGAUUGGAAUUCCUGGUGUAGCGGUGGAAUGCGCAGAUAUCAGGAGGAACACCGAUGGCGAAGGCAGAUCUCUGGGCCGUAACUGACGCUGAGGAGCGAAAGGUGGGAGCAAACAGGCUUAGAUACCCUGGUAGUCCACCCCGUAAACGUUGGGAACUAGUUGUGGGGUCCAUUCCACGGAUUCCGUGACGCAGCUAACGCAUUAAGUUCCCCGCCUGGGGAGUACGGCCGCAAGGCUA